rnacentral:rRNA from 1 species
AUUGAACGCUGGCGGCAGGCCUAACACAUGCAAGUCGAGCGGAAGAAGGGAGCUUGCUCCUGGAUUCAGCGGCGGACGGGGGAGUAAUGCCUAGGAAUCUGCCUGGUAGUGGGGGAUAACGUCCGGAAACGGGCGCUAAUACCGCAUACGCCCUGAGGGAGAAAGUGGGGGAUCCUCGGACCUCACGCUAUCAGAUGAGCCUAGGUCGGAUUAGCUAGUUGGUGGGGUAAAGGCCUACCAAGGCGACGAUCCGUAACUGGUCUGAGAGGAUGAUCAGUCACACUGGAACUGAGACACGGUCCAGACUCCUACGGGAGGCAGCAGUGGGGAAUAUUGGACAAUGGGCGAAAGCCUGAUCCAGCCAUGCCGCGUGUGUGAAGAAGGUCUUCGGAUUGUAAAGCACUUUUAGUUGGGAAGAAGGGCAGUAAGUUAAUACCUUGCUGUUUUGACGUUACCAACAGAAUAAGCACCGGCUAACUUCGUG